rnacentral:lncRNA from 1 species
UAAAUUCAGCUGACUUGAAUGAGUCUUUUUAUAGUCACUUGAACGUGUGAUUUCUCCUUUCAUUUGGCUUGAAUUGAUGUUUCAGCUCUUCAAGGUCGAUCUGAACUCAACCCUGGAUGAUGGAUUCGACGCGAAAAGAUCAUAUCAAAUUUGGUCCAGUCCUAAGAAAUUCAACGAGACGUUUAAUAUAAAGUGGGUUGACGUUGUUAUUAGAGUGAACGUGCUAGAGCCAUUUGCGCUCAUUUUCAAACAAUAUUUGCAAGCAGAGAGCGGGAGGACUGGGUGAUAUUCGAUGAUCUUCUAGUUAAAUACACACCAUGCGAAUCUCCAGAAGCAGUUGAAGGAUUCAAGCCGAGGAUACAAAAACAAAGUUUCUACAACAGACUGUUUCCUUCCGCUCCCAAAACAUUUACUCCAGGUCCUCCGAAUCCGAAAUCGUGGAGAUCGCUUUGGGGAUUAUUUCCAAAAGAACCUCGGUCAAAAGCAUCGACUCAAAACUCGUCCUUGCUAUCAUCUUGGCGGAAACGGUUUUCCGGAUCAUCUUUACGGAGACGAAUUUCCCGAUCAUCUUUGCGGAGACGGUUUUCCGGAUUAUUUAGAAAGAGAUCGUCUUCCGGAUCACCCACUCCGGAAUCGUCCUCGAAACCAUCUCUACGGAAGCGGUUGGCCGGAUUAUUCUCAAGGAAAUCGUCAUCAACACCACCAGCUUCGGAAUCGACACAGCCUAAGCCCUCCAGCGGAAAAAGAUUCUUCAGCAAUUUGAAGCCUAAUAUGACAUCCAUAUUCCGAAACUCGUUUAGUCGAAUCCGUAAGCGGUCGAAAUCGAAUUCGGAUAAAAAGUGAGAUGGAGAGAACCACACAGUUAAAAAUUUCCGUGUAAAUGGGCACUUGGCUUACUUUGCAUUACUCCUUUCCGGUCGGAUCAACCAAAAAAACUUGGUUGAUUGACCAAAUUUUUUGUUAAAGUGCCCGUAACAAGGUUACUCUAAGUCAUCUGGGGAUGAAGAUAGUGUCCCGCUGGACUAAUGUGCUCUUAUUCAGAGGCGGGUCCAGCAAUUUGGCAACACCGGAUUCCCUUGAUUUAAACCUAUGUCAAAUAAUCGAUUCUUGUCGAAGCACCUGGUCAAAAUAAUCAAUAAAUAAGGUCUGGUCAAUAAAUCAAUCUUAUUACAUCUUGCAAAAAUAAACUAACAUUUUUGGCUCAUCCUUAAACACAUCCAUCUACAUAGGGAAACCAGGGUCACAUCCGUCGUUACCAGUGGCGUGGCGUGAACAAUCGAUUAUCGAUAUUUCCCCAUUUAAACCUAUGGUAAAGAAUCGAUUAUGAAGGUGUUCGUUGCGAACACCCUGUAUGUCGAUUCCUUUUCAUAGGAUUAAAUGGCAGAUCAAUC